ACCAAUUGGACGACAGUUCAGACAGAGCUAUAGACCCAUUUCGACACCGCCUACAAAUGCACGCUUAGGUUUACGCAUAAUAAUAGUGAUAAUGAGGUCACUUAAAUACAGAUUGCCUGGUGUUUUUCAUGCAGGGUCUAUAACAACAACAUUCCUCCAGCAAAGAAAGCAUAAUAUUAUUAUCAUUUUUGUGUUUUCAGCUGAACACUUGAUUUUGCUUGAACUCAGCAAGAUAUCCAAACAGGAAAAAUAAGGCAAAGUAGUUUUAUUAAAACUUAUUCUGAGUAGAAUUGCCUGACGGGGUUGAAAGCGAAGGCAAAUAACAGUGUCGGUCAAAAAUUGGCAGGCAUUUUUAACAGUAAAAGGUUCAAAAAGUAAACAAUAAUAAUAGAUACAGAUGAAAUAAAGACAUGCAUUAGGUUCAUUUUUGAGACUGAUGCAAAUUAAUGUCAAAAUGUCACUGAAAAACAAUACCGAGUGUUUAAGUAGUCUUAGAAUAUGUCUCCGGAACAGGUUUCGGUGUGAUUUUCCAGCAUUUACCCCCCUUAUUACCCCAAGUGCUACAGCCCAAUUGCAAACAGCCCUAAUUUGGGUCAAAAUGACAUCUGGCAGUUAUGUUUUGCAAUACAGAGAGUUUUUGAUGGUCAAUUGUCAAAAUUCUGGCAGACGACUAACUUGGUCGGAAGUUCUUAAAGAGAACCCAACCCCUUCAAAUUUAUAUAAAAGGCACUUUUCCCACAGGUAUAAUCUGUUUUGAGAAAAAUCACAAAGUUCCGAUACAAUGACACACAGAUUUAUUCAUAAAAGUUGCCGUUGAAAGCGUCAUGCAUAACAGCGUUUCGCGUCAAGAAUUAUGGUAGAAAAGCCAAACUUGGUUUCAUCAUACAUGCAGCACUUAGACUUCAUACAAGUCAUCACUUUCGAUUCUCAUAGGCAAAGUUGAUGUAACAGAUGACUAAAUAAGUGACAAAAAUCAUCAAUGGCAAUAUUUGUGCAUCAAAGCAGGAUUUGAACAGGUUUCGAACAAACUUUUUUCUUUUUUUUUGGCACAUUUUAGGUAAAAUCCAUGUAGAGGCAGAAUUUCUGAUGUCAUUUCACCCAACAAAAGGGCUUGCUUGCGUGGAAAAACAACACACUUGAAUUCCUGACUCAAAAAAAGUGAUCGUCAGACAUGAGCUUUAAGUCUUUUGCCACACCUGGACCUAUGAUUCCUAGGCUCGAGUUCCGUCUCGGACAGGCUCCGGAAAGUGUCAGUCUGGCCCGGGUGCUCGAUUCCGUGUAAUCUGAGGAAACAAAAAGUUUUUUUUGUGCACAUUUACCAAUAACGGUGCCAACUAAUGUAAGUGGGAUACAAUUAGCGUAAGCUUUCAAUAGUCUUUGUUGCUUUAUUUGCUGCAAAGGGAUAAGUCACCACGCCGGAAUCACAUUGUCGGGCACACUGGUAAAGUUAUCGCCUUAAAAUGUUGUUUCAGAGCUGCAGUAAAUGUAAAACACCCAAUUUUCCUAAUUUUGGGGACAAACGUGUGCCAAGAUAUCGAAGAAAUCAUUUUACAAUAGAUUUAAUUGAAAAUAACGGUGUACUAACCUACAAAGACACCGAUCCUCUCGACACGACUGGGCGAGUGUUGAGGGCUGUCUCCGAAUCAGUCAUGCUGUACAGUUUUGAUGGCCUGUCACUUCAGCCGGACCUGUAAACCAAUUGGACGACAGUUCAGACAGAGCUAUAGACCCAUUUCGACACCGCCUACAAAUGCACGCUUAGGUUUACGCAUAAUAAUAGUGAUAAUGAGGUCACUUAAAUACAGAUUGCCUGGUGUUUUUCAUGCAGGGUCUAUAACAACAACAUUCCUCCAGCAAAGAAAGCAUAAUAUUAUUAUCAUUUUUGUGUUUUCAGCUGAACACUUGAUUUUGCUUGAACUCAGCAAGAUAUCCAAACAGGAAAAAUAAGGCAAAGUAGUUUUAUUAAAACUUAUUCUGAGUAGAAUUGCCUGACGGGGUUGAAAGCGAAGGCAAAUAACAGUGUCGGUCAAAAAUUGGCAGGCAUUUUUAACAGUAAAAGGUUCAAAAAGUAAACAAUAAUAAUAGAUACAGAUGAAAUAAAGACAUGCAUUAGGUUCAUUUUUGAGACUGAUGCAAAUUAAUGUCAAAA